AACAACUAAAUUCACUAACAAACCCGACAUUAUUCAUUUUAACUUAUUUAAACAUAACAACUUUUGAACUUUAACUACAUUAGUUUUGACUUAAUUCCAACAACUAAAUUCACUAACUAACCCGACAUUAUUUAUUUUAACUUAUUUAAACAACAUAACAACUUUUGAACUUUAACUACAUUAGUUUUGACUUAAUUCCAACAACUAAAUUCACUAACUAAACCGACAUUAUUUAUUUUAACUUAUUUAAACAACUUAACAACUUUAUAACUUUAACAACUUAACAACUUUUUAAAGCUAAGUGUCAACACUAGAUGGACACAAAUCGA
rnacentral:lncRNA from 1 species